UAGGGAAUAUUCCGCAAUGGGCGAAAUCUUGACGGAGCGACGCCGCGUGAGCGAUGAAGGUUUUCGGAUCGUAAAGCUCUGUUGUUAGGGAAGAACAAGUACCGGAGUAACUGCCGGUACCUUGACCGGACCUAACCAGAAAGCCCCGGCUAACUACAUGCCAGCAGCCGCGGUAA
rnacentral:rRNA from 1 species